rnacentral:rRNA from 1 species
CCUACGGGGGGCAGCAGUGGGGAAUAUUGCACAAUGGGCGCAAGCCUGAUGCAGCCAUGCCGCGUGUGUGAAGAAGGCCUUCGGGUUGUAAAGCACUUUCAGCGGGGAGGAAGGCGUUAAGGUUAAUAACCUCGGCGAUUGACGUUACCCGCAGAAGAAGCACCGGCUAACUCCGUGCCAGCAGCCGCGGUAAUACGGAGGGUGCAAGCGUUAAUCGGAAUUACUGGGCGUAAAGCGCACGCAGGCGGUCUGUCAAGUCGGAUGUGAAAUCCCCGGGCUCAACCUGGGAACUGCAUUCGAAACUGGCAGGCUAGAGUCUUGUAGAGGGGGGUAGAAUUCCAGGUGUAGCGGUGAAAUGCGUAGAGAUCUGGAGGAAUACCGGUGGCGAAGGCGGCCCCCUGGACAAAGACUGACGCUCAGGUGCGAAAGCGUGGGGAGCAAACAGGAUUAGAUACCCCUGUAGUC